GGGACUAUAGUUAACAAUAACAUUUGAGUUGCAUUCAAAAAGUACUAUACCUUAGUUAGUCUCA
rnacentral:tRNA from 1 species